ACUAUGUAUAUAUAUACAAACAUGAAAACAUAUUUUGCCAUACAUGCGAACUAAGUUCUUCCACACAGCGCUUUUAUUUAUGUAUUUAGUCAAGAGUCAGUCUGCGGGAGCAUUUAGUAGCAGCAGAGCAGCCACAAGAAGUACAGCUAAAGCGAACACGUCGUAACCGAUGGUGAAUUCUGGUACAAGGGCGAAACGAGGAGACAGACGCGUUGGAUGCAUAGAGUGAUAAAAAGGGAAGAGAGAAACAAAUUUCGGAAACGAAAGCUAAACUUGGCAGAGAUGUGCGCAGAGGUGCCCUUUGGAAAAGUGAAACUUGUUACAAAAAUAAUGGGAGUACGCAAAUACAUACGUACCAACAUAAAUAUUAAAUGUCAACGUGCUGUGAAAAUAAUAAAGUGAAAAAGCGCACCAGCAACAAAAUCGACUACACCAAAAAAGUACAAAUUUCCAUUUAAUUUACUACAAGUCAAAUACAGUGACAAGUUUCAAAGAAUAAUAGUAAAAAGCCAGGAAGUACUAUAUCCUGGCGUUCACAAAAUCCUUUUGGAACAUUUAAUACUUCUUACUGGAGUAACUUAAAAUUUACAUUAAUAUAUUCUACUUAGUCGAGAAUUACAAUAAAAACCGAAGAAAAUAUCUAAUUUUUAAGGUACCGGUUAGCUUUAUGUAUGAACAUACAUACAUAUGUAUGCAUGUAUGUUUGUAUUUCCACUGCUUAAGAUUUGGUCAGCGAACUCACACCCACCUGUAGAUGUCAACAACAGCAAUGAACGUGCAGGAUUUUGCGAGACAUGCUCAGGAAAUGCAAUAAAUUAGUGACAAAAGUAACAGCGGCAGCAAUAGCAGUAGCAGAAAGAAGCGAAAGGGAUAGCGGAAAUGAUGUGAAUUCGUUUAUUUAACUGAUUUACUACAUGCUCAAUUACCGAGUAGUACACUUAAGCUACCUCAAACGUGACAUACAUCCUGGCAGCAAUAGAAAAAAUGUUAUGAAGCGCACAAAGUGUUGCACGAUCUAAGUUGAAAAUCGCAUGCGAUAAAAUUUAUAAUCAGCUGCAAAAAGAUCUAUGUUUGUAAAUAAAUCAAAAUAAUUUUUAAAGCAAAACAAAAUCUUUCCAAAAUUCGCAGACCAAAUGAAAGUGUAACAUUAAAAAUAAAGAAGAACACUUAAAAUUAAUACCAAAAAUUGCAAAAACUCAGUUUAUUAAGUAAAAGAAAACCAAUAAAGGCAAAAAAAGGUUUAAGAAGUGACAAACAAACAAAAGGCCAAACACAUAUAACAGCAUUAACUACAGACUUGCCAUGAAAUAAAAGAUAUAAAAACAAA